rnacentral:rRNA from 1 species
AUACAUGCAAGUCGAGCGGACAGAUGGGAGCUUGCUCCCUGAUGUUAGCGGCGGACGGGUGAGUAACACGUGGGUAACCUGCCUGUAAGACUGGGAUAACUCCGGGAAACCGGGGCUAAUACCGGAUGGUUGUUUGAACCGCAUGGUUCAAACAUAAAAGGUGGCUUCGGCUACCACUUACAGAUGGACCCGCGGCGCAUUAGCUAGUUGGUGAGGUAACGGCUCACCAAGGCAACGAUGCGUAGCCGACCUGAGAGGGUGAUCGGCCACACUGGGACUGAGACACGGCCCAGACUCCUACGGGAGGCAGCAGUAGGGAAUCUUCCGCAAUGGACGAAAGUCUGACGGAGCAACGCCGCGUGAGUGAUGAAGGUUUUCGGAUCGUAAAGCUCUGUUGUUAGGGAAGAACAAGUACCGUUCGAAUAGGGCGGUACCUUGACGGUACCUAACCAGAAAGCCACGGCUAACUACGUGCCAGCAGCCGCGGUAAUACGUAGGUGGCAAGCGUUGUCCGGAAUUAUUGGGCGUAAAGGGCUCGCAGGCGGUUUCUUAAGUCUGAUGUGAAAGCCCCCGGCUCAACCGGGGAGGGUCAUUGGAAACUGGGGAACUUGAGUGCAGAAGAGGAGAGUGGAAUUCCACGUGUAGCGGUGAAAUGCGUAGAGAUGUGGAGGAACACCAGUGGCGAAGGCGACUCUCUGGUCUGUAACUGACGCUGAGGAG